UUUUAUUAUUUUUAAAUUCUAUUCAUUGAAUAUUGCAAAACAUCAAAACAACAUCUAAAAUCUAAAGCAAAAUUUUCUGUAUAUUUCAUAACAAGCACAAUUUUUUUUAAACGUAAAAACGUAUUAUAGUACCUACUAGAAAUUUUGAAAAAUCCAAAUAAAAUGUCUCUAUUCUUACACAAUUGUUGAGUCAGCUAAUUUAUAUAAUUUUCUAACUUAUUUUUACACAAAACAAUGUAUUUUGACCAAUUUUUACGCAUUUUAUCCCAUCAAAUUAUUUUUUUACCCGUCAAUGUAAGCGCGUUCUUUAAGCGGAUAUUUAAUUAAAAAAUUAAAUUUGUUCGUAAGUACACAAAACAUGCAUACAUACAUAUGUAGGAACAAAACAUCGUAGAUUAUAUAAUUGAAAGUAGGGUGAAACAUUGCAUAUUACACAACUAGAUUAAAAAGAAUGAAGCGAGCUUUGUUUGUGUUUUGUGAGGCUGUUUAAAAUACAUAACAGAAAUCAAAAUUCGUUGCUAAAGCAUUACAAUUAAUUAAAUAAAAUUAGAAAAUUUAAAUUGACGGGUAAAGAAAUAAUUUGAAGCAAUAAAAUACGUUAAAAUUGAUCACCGUGGGUACGCGAGCUAAUUGCUAAGGCAAUUUUAAGACAUUUAAAACUAUGAGCUACUCUUCUUUAGGAUAACAUAAGGAUCUGCGGCAGAAAAAUAAAAGAUGUUUAUGUAUCCUAUACAUAUAUGACGUGAAGUGACAAAUGGAAUAUUUUGUUCAACAGACAAUAACGAGGAUUGUUUGAAAAUUUAUGUAAUGUUUAACUGCCUAUAAAAGCAACAAGCAAUUUAAAUUUUAAGCUUAGUUUUAAUAACAGAAGAAAAUAUUUUAAGUUUUCUGGUCUACAUUGUGGGAAACACGAAUUGCAGAACAAAACAGAAUCGAUGACAACUUGCAGAUUCAUUUAGACACCGGAAUUUGUAGUUUCCGGAAUGUUCGCCGUGGCGAUCAACGCGUGGAGUCCGUAUGGCAGCAGACAUGCGUAGUUCUAAUUAGAGUGUUGCCGAACAAAGUGGGGGAAACAUGGGGAUAUAUCCGUUUUGAAAGCUAAACCUAGCUGAAUAAGGUAAUACUAUAGGUGAGUUUUACAUUUACAUCUCUCAAUGUUUCAGAAGUCUUAGAAAAAUUAUGUGAAUGAAUAAUAAUGGAUAUACUACUGAUACACUUCUUGCGAAAAUAGGCAGAAUUGAUCUACAAAUCACCCUAACUCCCAAAUGCUAUAUAUAAUGACUAGAGGACCCGUCCACGCUUCGCUGUAGCUGAUACAUAGAUAAUACUACUACUACCAUCUAUAUGACUUAUAUUAGUUGGAUUAUAACUAUUAGUUAAUGAGAUAUAGCUUUUUUGUGAAGCAACUUGUGUAAGUUUACAAAAAAAAUUGAUGAUAAUGA